rnacentral:rRNA from 1 species
AUUGAACGCUGGCGGCAUGCCUUACACAUGCAAGUCGAACGGUAACAGGUCUUUCGGGAUGCUGACGAGUGGCGAACGGGUGAGUAAUACAUCGGAACGUACCUAGUAGUGGGGGAUAACUACUCGAAAGAGUGGCUAAUACCGCAUGAGAUCUAUGGAUGAAAGCAGGGGACCUUUGGGCCUUGUGCUACUAGAGCGGCCGAUGGCAGAUUAGGUAGUUGGUGGGAUAAAAGCUUACCAAGCCUACGAUCUGUAGCUGGUCUGAGAGGACGAUCAGCCACACUGGGACUGAGACACGGCCCAGACUCCUACGGGAGGCAGCAGUGGGGAAUUUUGGACAAUGGGCGCAAGCCUGAUCCAGCAAUGCCGCGUGCAGGAUGAAGGCCUUCGGGUUGUAAACUGCUUUUGUACGGAACGAAAAGUCUUGGGUUAAUACCCUGGGAUCAUGACGGUACCGUAAGAAUAAGCACCGGCUAACUACGUG